GAUGAACGCUGGCGGCGUGCUUAACACAUGCAAGUCGAACGGGGUGUCGAGAGCUUGCUCUUGACACUUAGUGGCGAACGGGUGAGUAACGCGUGAGAAACCUGCCUCUCAGUGGGGGACAACAGUUGGAAACGACUGCUAAUACCGCAUAACGUAUUCGGAGGGCAUCCUCUGAAUACCAAAGCUUUAUGUGCUGAGAGAUGGUCUCGCGUCUGAUUAGCUAGAUGGCGGGGUAACGGCCCACCAUGGCGACGAUCAGUAGCCGGUCUGAGAGGUUGAACGGCCACAUUGGGACUGAGAUACGGCCCAGACUCCUACGGGAGGCAGCAGUCGGGAAUAUUGCGCAAUGGGGGAAACCCUGACGCAGCAACGCCGCGUGCAGGAAGAAGGUCUUCGGAUUGUAAACUGUUGUCGCAAGGGAAGAAGACAGUGACGGUACCUUGUGAGAAAGUCACGGCUAACUACGUG
rnacentral:rRNA from 1 species